GGAAGUAAAAGACGUAACAAGGGAACCGUAGGUGAACCUGCGGUUGGAUCAUUACCGAUUACCAGCUCUGCGGGUUGAUUCGCAAGAGUCCUCGUAGAGUUGAUCAACCCUUUGUGCACUGUUUUGUUUUUUGGGUCUCUGUUGAUGACUUGCAUUCUUUGGAUGUGAGUCUUGAGGCCCAGCAUAUUUAAAAACCAUAUCAAUUUUGACUUAAUCCUAUGAAAAUAGAAACAACUUUUGACAACGGAUCUCUUGGCUCUC
rnacentral:misc_RNA from 1 species